rnacentral:rRNA from 1 species
CCUACGGGUGGCUGCAGUAGGGAAUCUUCCACAAUGGGCGAAAGCCUGAUGGAGCAACGCCGCGUGGGUGAAGAAGGUCUUCGGAUCGUAAAACCCUGUUGUUAGAGAAGAAAGUGCGUGAGAGUAACUGUUCACGUUUCGACGGUAUCUAACCAGAAAGCCACGGCUAACUACGUGCCAGCAGCCGCGGUAAUACGUAGAUGGCAAGCGUUAUCCGGAUUUAUUGGGCGUAAAGGGAACGCAGGCGGUCUUUUAAGUCUGAUGUGAAAGCCUUCGGCUUAACCGGAGUAGUGCAUUGGAAACUGGCAAACUGGAGUGUGUGAGAGGAUAGUGGAAUUCCAGGUGUAGGAGUGAAAUCCGUAGAUAUCUGGAGGAACAUCAGUGGCGAAGGCGACUAUCUGGCACAUAACUGACGCUGAGGAGCGAAAGCGUGGGUAGCAAACAGGAUUAGAUACCCGGGUAGUC